rnacentral:tRNA from 1 species
CAGGGAGACACAACUGAUCGUGAUGUCUGAGCGCCGACCAAGCGAAAGCUUGGGGAGCAACUUUGUCUCAGGCCACGGUCCUGUCAUCUCGAAGGUCGAUCGGUACCUCAAGGUGAGCCAUCAAGCCCAACGAAGCAUCAAAGGUUUUGCAAGAGACUGGAGAUGAAUCAGAGGAUGCUGUGAUGGACUCGUUUUCAGUUCCUAAACUUUGUCUAGGUCACCCCACAAAGGGUUAUCUCGUCUUUCCACUUUUUAAACCUCAAAGGGUUUGAAGGGCAGGCAAGAUGUAAGAAGCUUGUGUCGAAGUGAUUGAUCCUGGGCCAUUAGCUCAGGUGGUUAGAGCGCACCCCUGAUAAGGGUGAGGUCCCUGGUUCAAGUCCAGGAUGGCCCAUUCGUGUUUGGGGGUUUAGCUCAGUUGGUAGAGCGCCUGCUUUGCAAGCAGGAUGUCAGCGGUUCGAGUCCGCUAACCUCCAUCCAACGAGGUGAAGACCACCACCAUGAAGCGGCAACAGGAUGCAUUUUGAUAGGUGAGGUGACAAGACAUGUUCAGCUGAGGACUCCAGCCUCUUUUCAUUCCUAAUUGUUUGGAUCACUUUAAUGGUGAGCCCAUGAACGACGGUGGUUGAAAGGAAGCUGGACUCGCUGAUUUUGGCGCAAGCCAACGAUCAGUGACUCUAGCAAAGAACCUUGACAACUGUAUAGGUAAGUCUGGAUAAAGAAAGCAUCUCAUAGAUGCCCAGACGGAUGUGAACUGCAUUUGGCACUGCCAAGUGAAGGUAGCGUCUGUUUGGGAGAUUCUUGAGUUUAGAGCCGAGAGCUUCCAGCGUCUUUUCGCUCCGCCGAGGAGGGAAGAGUUUGAUUUUGUUUUUCAAACCGCCAAAGUCUGAGGUCAAUCGGGAAACCGAGAGAUCAAAGGAUGGAGAGAGGUGAAAGCAAAAGAAUGGGUCUCAACAACCCUGAACGUUGGGAGUGUUAAUU